AGUAUGGACUGCAGUAAUUCCUACAAGUAAAAAUUAAAAGUAUACAAUUUGAAACACAGCCUCCAUUCGGGUACAGAAGCCCAGAAAGGAAAGAAACCACCGAACGCAACAAAAUGGCCGCCACCAACCUGUUGCUCAUGAGGGAGCCCAGCACCAUGAGGCUGUCCUCCAUGCUGGCGAUGACCUCCGACGUGCUGUCCCCCCGCGCAGCAGCAGCUCCCCGCGGGCCUUGAAGUGGGCGAAGGUGAAGGUCUUGUUGUCCCACUCGGCGAUCACCUGCUUCAGCUUCUGCUCGAUGUCCCGCUCCUUCACCGCGCUGAUGCAGAUGUCCUGCGCCGCGGGGGUUACAGGGUGUACACGAGUAGGAACGCAAACUGUCUCGUAACCAGGGGUUACCACCACCGACGCAGCGGAGCCUCCAUGAUGUUGCGGAGCUUGAAGGUGUCGGACUCCACCUCAAAGAAGUUGGAGCAGUCGUCCAGGAAGGUCUCCACGUUGUCGAUGAGCUCCCCGCGGAAGUUGGGCUGCAGGGAGGCCAGCUCGUUCUGCACCUCCGUGCUGCGGGACAGCAGCUUCUCCCAGGGAAUCGAAUGUCGUGGGAUACAAAAAGAAAAACAUGGAAACCUGAGACCUGAAAUUGAUUCAAGCACAACGUCCCAGACCUCAUUUGAGUCAUACAUCAUCCUCACGCAGGCACACUGUACCUCGAUGGGACCAACUUGGAAAUCAAUGGAAAUCUGGUGCUCUCUGAUCUCUUUGAGGGCUGCCAUGGCGAUGCGUAUGUCGUCCAGGUCUUUGAUCUGCCGGUUCAGCUUCUUGCCCGCCUCGUCUACAAAGACGAAGAUCUGCUCCAUCUCUGAGCGGUACUUCUUGUUGCAGUGGAGACCGUACUGCAUGAUCCAGCUCUUGGUCUCGGCCGUGAGGGACAUCUUCAGGUCCGCUGGGGGCCAAAUGGACACACGGGUCGGAUUUAAGUAUUCGCUACCACUCUCUGCGUGUUUCCUUGUUCUUUCAUGAAUGUUGUGUUACGCAGCAGGGCCGUAGCGAGUUCUAUGUGCUCUACUUCAGCCAUGCACGGUGGCCAUCGUACGUAACCGGACACCAUGCAAUCAUGAACAAACAUCCGCACCUGUGCUUAGGUUGUCACACCUAUUUAUUCCCUCUGCUCCCCGCACUCCCUGCUGAAACUUCACAAAUCUUUGUUGUAUUCUAUUUUGCCAGAACGUGGUUCUAUGUUGUGACUAUUAGGAAUAGCGUUGUUUUUUUUUUGGCGAGUUACAGUGUUUUGUUUUAUUGGGGAGAGUCUGUGUUUUGUACCUAGUCUGUUAUUUACUUCAGUAAAGAAUUUAUUUUGUUU
ensembl:lncRNA